AAAUCCAUUGACUCCCUGUGGGACUCUCUGCUUCUCCCAAGUGAAUGGAUUCUCAAAUUUGGAACACAGGUGGCCUUCAGGUUGGAUGGACAUAGCCCGCCUCUCUGAUUAAUUCGGUGGAUGCCGCGCUCCAAGGAGGGCCGGGAGUCGGAAAUCCCCCCCUCCCCACCACCUACUUCCUGCCUGGGGAAAACCGCAGGGAGAGGGGAGUGAAGGGGAGGCAGCUCCUAACAGCGAUGGGGGCCUUGCCUGGAAGGGUGUGAAGUGAGGAGCUUGUUUUUAUCACAUGUAUCCUCUUACUACAUGGGAAAUCUCUCUCUCUGCUAAUUGCUGUCAUCAUCCAUCAAGAUCACCAACAGAGCAGCAUUCCAGCCAGAGAGGCCUUGGGGCCCAGGUGAGCUCCAGGACCAGGAAGCCAGGGGCCCAUAUGGGGCUGCACCUGCUGGGCAUCUCCAUCAGGAGGCGCCAAGGAGGCACACGCAGUCGGAGUCCGGACCAGCCUCUCAGGCUCUGUACCUUGGAGUCAUUGGCCCUGGGACUACCAAGCCACCUACCUUGGGGACCUGGGGGUGACGGAGCUAUGUGGUGCAGGAUGCCUUCAACAUUUUAAUCAGACCAGCCCCCCUUUAUCUCUUUUACACCUCAAAUCAGAUUUUGUCAAAGAAGUCCUACUAAUUUGAAAAGAAAGAUUUGAAAACCACAGAUCUAGUCCAACUAUUAGCUUUAACAGGUGAACUGACACAGUCUGGAGGCCAGGCGAGGAGUGUGCUACAGGUCAAAGAGAAAGUCAGGUUCAGACCUGGGACACGAGCCCAGGUCUCUUGAUUGCAAAGACAGCAUUUCUGGGUUUUUAUUUGUUUUUAAUUCUCUACUUUCCACCUCCAUCUGUUUUAUACAUUAAUGAAUGUGCAAGAACCCGCCCUGAGUGUCUACCUUGGAGGCUGUAAGAGAGAAAGAGUAGGGGGAUUGAGCAUCCAGAGGGCAGGGAAGGUCACACAUGCUGGCACUGGUUGGGAACUUCACAGACUUACUCUUAUUCAUGGAUUUAUUUUAUUAUUGGAGCAUGAUUGCUUUACAAAAUUGUGUUAGUUUCUGCUGUACAAAGAAGUGAAUCAGUAGUAUGCAUAUAUACAUUCUCCUCCCUCUUGGACUUUCCUCCCCCCAUCCCACCCCUCUAGGUCAUCACAGAGCACCGAGCUGAGCUCCCUGUGUUACGACAGCUUCCCACCAGCUCUCUGUUUUACACAUGGUAAUGUAUGUAUGUCAGUGCUAUUCUCUUAAUUCAUCCCACCCUCUCCUUUUCAUUCCUUUGUAUGUAGGUCCACACAGAAGUCUACAGUGCCAUAAAUGCAUUCAAGACAUGGACAUUGCUAGGAUGAUAAUGCAAAGAUGCGGUAUAUUAUAUAUAAAAAAAGAUACGUUAUAUUCAUAGUUACCCAGAUGUGAAAAACAGUUUUUGUAUAAGCAAGUACAUCUCUCGCCAAAGAAUACUCAAGACACCUUUUACUUGAUAAAUGUGUAUUUUGUGAAGUUUUUCAGAGUCAGCGUAUUAGAACUAGAUGGAUCCUAUCUAAGCCUUAUCUUAAAGAUGGAGAACCUAAGCUAUGCUGCUAAUAAAGAUCAAUGCCGGAACA
ensembl:lncRNA